rnacentral:rRNA from 2 species
CUCUGGUAUUGAUUGGUGCUUGCAUCAUGAUUUACAUUUGAGUGAGUGGCGAACUGGUGAGUAACACGUGGGAAACCUGCCCAGAAGCGGGGGAUAACACCUGGAAACAGAUGCUAAUACCGCAUAACAACUUGGACCGCAUGGUCCGAGUUUGAAAGAUGGCUUCGGCUAUCACUUUUGGAUGGUCCCGCGGCGUAUUAGCUAGAUGGUGGGGUAACGGCUCACCAUGGCAAUGAUACGUAGCCGACCUGAGAGGGUAAUCGGCCACAUUGGGACUGAGACACGGCCCAAACUCCUACGGGAGGCAGCAGUAGGGAAUCUUCCACAAUGGACGAAAGUCUGAUGGAGCAACGCCGCGUGAGUGAAGAAGGGUUUCGGCUCGUAAAACUCUGUUGUUAAAGAAGAACAUAUCUGAGAGUAACUGUUCAGGUAUUGACGGUAUUUAACCAGAAAGCCACGGCUAACUACGUGCCAGCAGCCGCGGUAAUACGUAGGUGGCAAGCGUUGUCCGGAUUUAUUGGGCGUAAAGCGAGCGCAGGCGGUUUUUUAAGUCUGAUGUGAAAGCCUUCGGCUCAACCGAAGAAGUGCAUCGGAAACUGGGAAACUUGAGUGCAGAAGAGGACAGUGGAACUCCAUGUGUAGCGGUGAAAUGCGUAGAUAUAUGGAAGAACACCAGUGGCGAAGGCGGCUGUCUGGUCUGUAACUGACGCUGAGGCUCGAAAGUAUGGGUAGCAAACAGGAUUAGAUACCCUGGUAGUCCAUACCGUAAACGAUGAAUGCUAAGUGUUGGAGGGUUUCCGCCCUUCAGUGCUGCAGCUAACGCAUUAAGCAUUCCGCCUGGGGAGUACGGCCGCAAGGCUGAAACUCAAAGGAAUUGACGGGGGCCCGCACAAGCGGUGGAGCAUGUGGUUUAAUUCGAAGCUACGCGAAGAACCUUACCAGGUCUUGACAUACUAUGCAAAUCUAAGAGAUUAGACGUUCCCUUCGGGGACAUGGAUACAGGUGGUGCAUGGUUGUCGUCAGCUCGUGUCGUGAGAUGUUGGGUUAAGUCCCGCAACGAGCGCAACCCUUAUUAUCAGUUGCCAGCAUUAAGUUGGGCACUCUGGUGAGACUGCCGGUGACAAACCGGAGGAAGGUGGGGAUGACGUCAAAUCAUCAUGCCCCUUAUGACCUGGGCUACACACGUGCUACAAUGGAUGGUACAACGAGUUGCGAACUCGCGAGAGUAAGCUAAUCUCUUAAAGCCAUUCUCAGUUCGGAUUGUAGGCUGCAACUCGCCUACAUGAAGUCGGAAUCGCUAGUAAUCGCGGAUCAGCAUGCCGCGGUGAAUACGUUCCCGGGCCUUGUACACACCGCCCGUCACACCAUGAGAGUUUGUAACACCCAAA